rnacentral:rRNA from 1 species
UACGGAGGGGGCUAGCGUUGUUCGGAAUUACUGGGCGUAAAGCGCGCGUAGGCGGCUUUGUAAGUUAGAGGUGAAAGCCCGGAGCUCAACUCCGGAACUGCCUUUAAGACUGCAUCGCUAGAACGAUGGAGAGGUAAGUGGAAUUCCGAGUGUAGAGGUGAAAUUCGUAGAUAUUCGGAAGAACACCAGUGGCGAAGGCGGCUCACUGGCCCGAUACUGACGCUGAGGUGCGAAAGCGUGGGGAGCAAACAGG